ensembl:lncRNA
AGAGAGAGAGAGAGAGAGAGAGAGAGAGAGAGAGAGAGAGAGAGAGAGAGAGAGAGGGGAGAGAGCCUCUCUAGUGCCGUCUAUAGUGAAGCCUCUAGGUCAGCCUCUAGGUCAGCCUCUAGUGCAGCCUCUAGUGCAGCCUCUAGUGCAGCCUCUCUAGGUCAGCCUCUAGUGAAGCCUCUAGGUCAGCCUCUAGUGAAGCCUCUAGUGCAGCCUCUCUCCUCUAGUGCAGCCUCUCUCCCCAGCUGCUGCUGGGCAGGUUUCUAUUAGUAGGGCUGACGUCAAUGUGUAGACCAGACCACAGGACAUUUGCUUGUGGUGAAGAGUUUGAAACCCCCUGUUGCCCAUCAGUGUGGGCCGCCAUGGUAAACACAUGAGCCGUGUGCGUGUGUGUAUGUUAGUGUGUAUUCAGUAAGCAGGGGCCUUGAACUCUGUUGAGCUGAGAGGAAGAGGAAAGGGCUAAGCUAAGGCCACACUGCACGCGUUUUUCAGGUUAAAAAACGCGCAUAACGCGCCUGUGGCUGCGCUGGAUUUAGGAGUCCGAGGUAGGAAACCCAAACGCCGCCGUGUUUGGGUGCAUGAUAGAGCUUAGAUCGGGUUAGAUUAAAUAAUCUCUUAUAUAAAUAACAAUAAUCGGGUUAAAUAACUUCACAUGGUGUGUCUUGUGU